UGGUAUGAAAGGUUUGACGAGAUAUUAACUGUUUCAUAAAAAUUUAUAAUAGAAUUUUAUUUUUUAGUCAAAAAGCUAAAAUAUAUUUAAAAGACGAGAAGACCCUAUAAAUCUUUAUAUUUAGGUUAUUAUAAUUUUAUAGAUUUUUUUUGUUAUAAUAAUUGAUAAUAUUUUAUUGGGGUGAUAUUAAAAUUUGAUAAACUUUUAAUUGUUUAAAUCAUUAAUUUAUGAAUAAUUGAUCCGUUAUUAGCGAUUAAAAAAAUAAGUUACCUUAGGGAUAACAGCG
rnacentral:rRNA from 1 species